rnacentral:rRNA from 1 species
CCUACGGGUGGCAGCAGUGGGGAAUAUUGCACAAUGGGGGAAACCCUGAUGCAGCGACGCCGCGUGAGUGAAGAAGUAUUUCUGUAUGGAAAGCUCUAUUAGCAGGGAAGAAAAUGACGGUACCUGACUAAGAAGCCCCGGCUAACUACGUGCCAGCAGCCGCGGGAAUACGGAGGGGGCAAGCGUUAUCCGGAUUUACUGGGUGUAAAGGGAGCGUAGACGGCAGCACAAGUCUGGAGUGAAAUGCCGGGGCUUAACCCCGGAACUGCUUUGGAAACUGUGCAGCUAGAGUGCAGGAGAGGUAAGUGGAAUUCCUGGUGUAGCGGUGAAAUGCGUAGAUAUUAGGAGGAACACCAGUGGCGAAGGCGGCUUACUGGACUGUAACUGACGUUGAGGCUCGAAAGCGUGGGGAGCAAACAGGAUUAGAUACCCUUGUAGUC